rnacentral:rRNA from 1 species
GAUGAACGCUGGCGGCGUGCCUAAUACAUGCAAGUCGAGCGAACGGACGAGAAGCUUGCUUCUCUGAUGUUAGCGGCGGACGGGUGAGUAACACGUGGAUAACCUACCUAUAAGACUGGGAUAACUUCGGGAAACCGGAGCUAAUACCGGAUAAUAUUUUGAACCGCAGGGUUCAAAAGUGAAAGACGGUCUUGCUGUCACUUAUAGAUGGAUCCGCGCUGCAUUAGCUAGUUGGUAAGUUAACGGCUUACCAAGGAAACGAUGCAUAGCCGACCUGAGAGGGUGAUCGGCCACACUGGAACUGAGACACGGUCCAGACUCCUACGGGAGGCAGCAGUAGGGAAUCUUCCGCAAUGGGCGAAAGCAUGACGGAGCAACGCCGCGUGAGUGAUGAAGGUCUUCGGAUCGUAAAACUCUGUUAUUAGGGAAGAACAUAUGUGUAAGUAACUGUGCACAUCUUGACGGUACCUAAUCAGAAAGCCACGGCUAACUACGUG